AGAGUUUGAUCCUGGCUCAGGAUGAACGCUGGCGGCGUGCUUAACACAUGCAAGUCGAACGAACCUUCGGGUUAGUGGCGGACGGGUGAGUAACGCGUGGGAAUCUGCCCUCAGGAGGGGGAUAACGGCUGGAAACGGCCGCUAAUACCCCAUAUGCCGAGAGGUGAAAAGAAAUUCGCCUGAGGAUGAGCCCGCGUCUGAUUAGCUAGUUGGUGGGGUAAGAGCUCACCAAGGCGACGAUCAGUAGCUGGUCUGAGAGGAUGAUCAGCCACACUGGGACUGAGACACGGCCCAGACUCCUACGGGAGGCAGCAGUGGGGAAUUUUCCGCAAUGGGCGAAAGCCUGACGGAGCAACGCCGCGUGAAGGAUGAAGGCCUCUGGGCUGUAAACCUCUUUUCUCAAGGAAGAAGACAUGACGGUACUUGAGGAAUAAGCCACGGCUAAUUCCGUGCCAGCAGCCGCGGUAAUACGGGAGUGGCAAGCGUUAUCCGGAAUUAUUGGGCGUAAAGCGUCCGCAGGCGGCCCUGUAAGUCUGUCGUUAAAGCGUGGAGCUUAACUCCAUUUAAGCGAUGGAAACUACAGGGCUUGAGUGUGGUAGGGGCAGAGGGAAUUCCCGGUGUAGCGGUGAAAUGCGUAGAUAUCGGGAAGAACACCAGUGGCGAAGGCGCUCUGCUGGGCCAUAACUGACGCUCAUGGACGAAAGCCAGGGGAGCGAAAGGGAUUAGAUACCCCUGUAGUCCUGGCCGUAAACGAUGAACACUAGGUGUCGGGGGAAUCGACCCCCUCGGUGUCGUAGCCAACGCGUUAAGUGUUCCGCCUGGGGAGUACGCACGCAAGUGUGAAACACAAAGGAAUUGACGGGGGCCCGCACAAGCGGUGGAGUAUGUGGUUUAAUUCGAUGCAACGCGAAGAACCUUACCAGGGUUUGACAUCCUGCGAAUCCCUUGGAAACGAGGGAGUGCCUUCGGGAGCGCAGAGACAGGUGGUGCAUGGCUGUCGUCAGCUCGUGUCGUGAGAUGUUGGGUUAAGUCCCGCAACGAGCGCAACCCACGUCUUUAGUUGCCAGCAUUCAGUUGGGCACUCUAGAGAGACCGCCGGUGAUAAACCGGAGGAAGGUGUGGAUGACGUCAAGUCAUCAUGCCCCUUACAUCCUGGGCUACACACGUACUACAAUGCUACGGACAAAGGGCAGCAAGCUCGCGAGAGUUAGCAAAUCCCAUAAACCGUGGCUCAGUUCAGAUCGUAGGCUGCAACUCGCCUACGUGAAGGAGGAAUCGCUAGUAAUCGCAGGUCAGCAUACUGCGGUGAAUACGUUCCCGGGCCUUGUACACACCGCCCGUCACACCAUGGAAGUUGGCCAUGCCCGAAGUCGUUACUCCAACCC
rnacentral:rRNA from 1 species